rnacentral:rRNA from 1 species
GACGAACGCUGGCGGCGUGCUUAACACAUGCAAGUCGAGCGGAAAGGCCCUUCGGGGUACUCGAGCGGCGAACGGGUGAGUAACACGUGGGUAACCUGCCCUUCACUCUGGGAUAACUCCGGGAAACCGGGGCUAAUACCGGAUACGACCACUUUAGGCAUCUUCGGUGGUGGAAAGUUUUUCGGUGGAGGAUGGACCCGCGGCCUAUCAGCUUGUUGGUGGGGGUAAUGGCCUACCAAGGC